CAGUCGCCACGGUAAUACGUAGGGAGCAAGCGUUGUUCGGAUUUACUGGGCGUAAAGGGCGCGUAGGCGGCCUGUCAAGUCAACUGUGAAAUCUCCGGGCUUAACUCGGAACGGUCAGUUGAUACUGUCAGGCUAGAGUGCAGAAGGGGCAAUCGGAAUUCUUGGUGUAGCGGUGAAAUGCGUAGAUAUCAAGAGGAACACCUGAGGUGAAGACGGGUUGCUGGGAUGACACUGACGCUGAGGCGCGAAAGCCAGGGGAGCAAACGGGAUUAGAUACCCCAGUAGUCCCUGUCUCUUAUAC
rnacentral:rRNA from 1 species